UACGGGGGGGGCAGGCGUUGUUCGGAAUUACUGGGCGUAAAGGGCUCGUAGGCGGCCAACUAAGUCAGACGUGAAAUCCCUCAGCUUAACUGGGGAACUGCGUCUGAGACUGGUGAGCUUGAGUGCAGGAGAGGAACGCGGAAUUCCAGGUGUAGCGGUGAAAUGCGUAGAUAUCUGGAGGAACACCGGUGGCGAAGGCGGCGUUCUGGACUGCUACUGACACUGAGGAACGAAAGCCAGGGGAGCAAACGGG
rnacentral:rRNA from 1 species